UAUGGACCAAGGGCCAUAAAUUACUGCAAAAAGAUGCAAAAUGACCACAAAGAGAUGCAAAAUGACCACAGAGCCAUAAAAUGACCACAAAGAGACAUAAAAUGAUUAUACAGAGAACCAAAAAGCCCACAGUUCUGCUUGGUUCCAUGUCUGCUGCUCAUAUCUAGCAUUCAGCCCUGAAUAAAACCAUCAGUCCAUCCCUAGAAAGAACUUCUCCUGUGUUUUCCUCACACUCCAACACACACACAGUGAGUUUAACACGUGUCAGGAAGCACAUACAUGUAGGUCACAGCUCAUCACAGCGGAUGAACCCACUGACAGUGACGAGCUGAGUUCUCACUGAGUGGAUGCUGAAGGUCACUGAAAGUGGAAACAACACAAACCCGUCUGUUAAGGUCUUUAUUCCUGAUAUAACUGCAAAUACGUAUUUAAAGAAAUAAAAAAGCCAACAAGGGAGGGGCUGUCAGGCUACCCAUCUAUGAAAUUACACUUUAAAUAUUUUUAAAAUCGCAUUAUUGAAUGUGUAGAAGGCUUUAUUUCAACAAUGUCUUUGUUUUCUGUGUUCUAUUAGGGACCCUCACAUUCUGCUGUAUUACUGUAGAAACACCACAAACACUUUCUGUCCGUUAGCAUUAGCACUGCUAGCCUGCUAGCUGGCUUCCAGAGCUGCUAGUGUGACUCAUUUUAAUAUUCCUGGACAGCAGAGGGACACGGUGUCUUCACUAAACUAGUGGUGCUGUUAAAUGUCCAUCCAUCUGCAGGAAUCAGAGAAAACCGAGUGAGAGAGUUUAGGUAGAUGUGGUGGAUGAAGAUGGAGGUAGAUGUUGUGGAUGAAGAUGGAGGUAGAUGUUGUGGAUGAAGAUGGAGGUAGAUGUUGUUCAUGAAGAUGGAGGUAGAUGUUGUUCAUGAAGAUGGAGGUAGAUGUUGUGGAUGAAGGUGGAGGUAGAUGUGGAUGAAGGUGGAGGUAGAUGUGGAUGAAGGUGGAGGUAGAUGUGGAUGAAGGUGGAGGUAGAUGUUGUGGAUGAAGAUGGAGGUAGAUGUGGAUGAUGAUGGAGGUAGAUGUGGAUGAAGGUGGAGGUAGAUGUGGAUGAAGGUGGAGGUAGAUGUGGAUGAAGAUGGAGGUAGAUGUGGAUGAAGAUGGAGGUAGAUGUGGAUGAAGAUGGAGGUAGAUGUGGAUGAAGGUGGAGGUAGAUGUGGAUGAUGGUGGAGGUAGAUGUUGUGGAUGAAGGUGGAGGUAGAUGUGGAUGAUGAUGGAGGUAGAUGUUGUGGAUGAAGGUGGAGGUAGAUGUUGUGGAUGAAGGUGGAGGUAGAUGUUGUGGAUGAAGGUGGAGGUAGAUGUUGUGGAUGAAGGUGGAGGUAGAUGUGGAUGAAGGUGGAGGUAGAUGUGGAUGAAGGUGGAGGUAGAUGUGGAUGAAGGUGGAGGUAGAUGUGGAUGAUGAUGGAGGUAGAUGUUGUGGAUGAAGAUGGAGGUAGAUGUGGAUGAAGAUGGAGGUAGAUGUGGAUGAAGAUGGAGGUAGAUGUGGAUGAAGAUGGAGGUCGAUGUGGAUGAAGGUGGAGGUAGAUGUGGAUGAAGAUGGAGGUAGAUGUGGAUGAAGGUGGAGGUAGAUGUGGAUGAAGGUGGAGGUAGAUGUGGAUGAUGAUGGAGGUAGAUGUUGUGGAUGAAGAUGGAGGUAGAUGUGGAUGAAGAUGGAGGUAGAUGUGGAUGAAGAUGGAGGUAGAUGUGGAUGAAGAUGGAGGUCGAUGUGGAUGAAGGUGGAGGUAGAUGUGGAUGAAGAUGGAGGUAGAUGUGGAUGAAGGUGGAGGUAGAUGUGGAUGAUGAUGGGCCUCCCUCCUCCUCCAGCUUCUCCUUCAUGCUGAUGUGGAAGCAGAUGUGACUGCUGCUUGUGUAGGCAGCAGAGAUGUGUGAAGGAGGCGGAGGGAGGAGAGGGGACGCUGACAGCAGAACAAACGAACGAGGACACGUUUGUCUGCUGCAGAGAAGGUUUGUUUGAGGAGCACUGACAGCAGAGACGAGCUGGAGGAGGCCAGUCUGUCCUCUUCUACAGUCACAUGACGUUUGUAAGAGAAUACAGACACACUGAGACUCAGAGCUGGAGAGACGCUGAGAGCUCAUCAUGGAGGUGAAGCAUCUAAGAUUCAUUAAUCAGUUCAUUAAGUUCCGGAGGUGGAACAGUUUGAACAGCUGAUCUUGGAUUCGUGGCACCAAUACAAGAUCUACACCUUAACCUGUAUCUACAUCUGUAUUUAUAUUUCUACCUACAUCUACACCUGUAACUAUACCUCUGUUUAUACCUGUAUCUAUAUCUAUAUCCGUGUAUCUGUAGCUUUAUCUCUGUCAGAUAAAAGUUAUUUCACAUAUUUAAAUACAGUUUAAAAACUG